UACGUAGGGGGCUAGCGUUGUCCGGAAUCAUUGGGCGUAAAGAGCGUGUAGGCGGUCCGGUAAGUCCGCUGUGAAAGUCGGGGGCUCAACCCUCGAAUGCCGGUGGAUACUGUCGGGCUAGAGUGCGGAAGAGGCGAGUGGAAUUCCUGGUGUAGCGGUGAAAUGCGCAGAUAUCAGGAGGAACACCGGUGGCGAAGGCGGCUCUCUGGGCCUUACCUGACGCUGAGGAGCGAAAGCGUGGGUAGCGAACAGG
rnacentral:rRNA from 1 species